GAAUCAACCUGUCAGGGGAGAUACCAUGAUCACGAAGGUGGUUUUCCCAGGGCAAGGCUUAUCCAUUGCACUCCGGAUGUGCUGACCCCUGUGAUUUCCCCAAAUGUGGGAAAUCCACUGCAUAAUUUGUGGUAGUGAGGGACUAUGUUCGCGCUCUCCCCUG
rnacentral:snRNA from 1 species